rnacentral:rRNA from 2 species
GGAUGCGAUCAUACAAGCACUAAAGCACUGGAUCCCAUCAGAACUCCGAAGUUAAGCGUGCUUGGGCGAGAGUAGUACUAGGAUGGGUUCCCUCCUGGGAAGUCCUCGUGUUGCAUUCC